CAAGCACAAUCCAUGGGCCGAACAGCCAGGCUCGAGAGGGGAAGAGGGAAGCUAAGAGCUCAUCACUGAUGUGAUGAUUGUGUGCCAAGAGCAGAGAGAGAGAGGAAGAGGAGGGAUGGGAACAGAGGAGGAAGAGGAACAACAGCCUGCCGAGGCAAGGAUGCAGCUAGAAAGCUGAGGGGGAAGAAUGAUUCCACAGGUGGAAAGAGAGGAGACAGAAAGUUUUCUGGCACUGGCUUCCGAUUGGCUUGAUAUCUUCUUGCCCUCCAAGAGCAACACCUGGCGGACUCCAGCUGAAGACGCUGAAGAUACCAGAAGGAAAUGAUAUUCAUGAACUGAAUGCCUGCCUACAGGCAGUAAUGGGCUGGAUGAGAUAUAAUAAAUUGAAGCUGAAUCAAAACAAGAUGGAAGUGCUCAUUUUGGGGGAAUGGAACUUGAGGGAUGAAAUAGAUCUUCCUGUGCUGGAUGAGGUUACACUCCCCCAGAAAGAACAAGUACUCAGUUUGGAAGUGCUCUUGGAUCCUGGUAUCUCAGGUGGAGGCUAUGGCUAAGAGCACUUUUCAUCGGCUCCAGGUGAUUCUACAAGUGCAUCAGGUCCUUGAAGAAGACAACCUUAAAAUUGGUACACCAGCUGAUAACCUCUAGGCUUGACUGCUGCAAUGCACUCUACAUAGAACUGCCUUUGUAUGUUGUCCAGAAACUUAAGUUAGUUCAAAAUGCAGCAGCCAGAUCGGUCUCCAGUGUAACCCAGAGAGAUCACAUUAUACCUGUACUUAAACAAUUGCAUUGGCUGUCAAUAUGUUUCUGGACAAAAUACAAAGUGUUGGUUAUUACCUUCAAAUCCCUGAAUGGCUUAGGUCUGGGUUAACUUAGAGAGCACCUUCUUCUGCAUGAUCCCCACUGUGCAUUAAUGUCCUGUGGAGAGGUCCACCUCCAGCUACUACUAGUUUGUCUGGUGGCAACUCAGGAUUGGGCCUCCUUAUCAGCUGCUCCUAGGAUGCACUCCCUACAGAAAUCCAAAGUUUAACGACCUUAUUCGCUUUCAACAAAGCCCUUAAGUCUUAGGGUUUUUUUAAUCUGGCCUUCCUGGGGUUUGUCUGAACUGUUUUUAAAUUGUGUGAACCUGUUUUAUAUUUAAUUUCUGAUUGUUUGGAUGGUUUUAAUUGACUAUGUCUCUGUUUAUUGUGAACUAUAGAUAGAUAGAUAGAUAGAUAGAUAGAUAGAUAGAUAGAUAGAUAAGCUGACCAAAUAUAGAAUGGUUAGUAGUUUUCUUGAUUAUAAUCACCUCAUCUCCUUUCUUUGCCCUUAUAUAAUGCCUCACAAAAGAUCUCCCCCACCACCCCGCAGUCAGGACUAAAUUCAACCACCAUAAAUAUAGAUUGUAUCUUAUUUAUACAGAAUUACUUUUGUAAUUAGAUUGUAUUAAUCAGGAAUUGGAUGUCUUUUCACAGCUGCCAAGAGUGUAUAAUGCAUUCAACAAUGAGU